CUUAACCAACUGAGCUACCCAGGUGCCCCUUGUGUUUAUAUUUAUAUCUACCUACCUAUCUACUUAUACCAUAUUAGAUAUUACAAUUGAAAAAAUAUUUAAAAUAUUGAUUAUUUUAUGAUAAACCAAUAUGUAUGAGUCUAAAUGAAAUACUUUUAUUAAAAAUAACUGUAUUUCCCAGAAAAAAAACCUGAGAAGAAUGGCAUUCCUUUACAUUUUUGCAAAUUUCUUUAAUACCUAGCUUAAUAGAAGACAGCUGGAUUUUCCUAUCUGCUUCUGAAUUUGAUCCAUUGAGAUAUCCUAUGCCAUGUAAUUAUUGGAAAACUCUACCGUUGUGAGAGAGUGAGAGUGAAAAAGGCAAAUAACAUCUUAGUCUUACUAUGAAAAUAGUUUUGGCCCUGCAAGUGUUUCAGGGACUCAGAAGGGUUUCCAGACCACAUCUUAAGAACUGCUGUUCUGAAGUACAGUAUUUCUAUAGAUGUCUGCUAAAAUCUUUGCUGGGUAAGCCCUAGACAACUGGAUGUGAGAAGUAGUUCUAUUGCCAUAAAGUAAUAUGCAGUGCCACUGUUGGUAAAACAAAGUUGUCAAAAAUAUUUAAGUCCUAAUUUUAUAUUUUGAUACAUUCCAUAUGAAAUAUAUAUUUUUAAAUUUCAUACAAUAACAUUUUGAAAGUGAUUCCUACAUUUUAAAAUCAAAUUUUGACAUCCGAUUCAUGUGUGAGCAGAAACUUAUUUCUUAUGGGGCACCUGGGUGGCUCAGUCAGUUAAGUGUCCAACUCUUGAUUUGGGCUCAGGUCAUGAUCUCAUGUGAGUUUGAGCCUUACAUUCAGCUCUGUGCUGAUAGUGUGGAGCCUGCUUAGGAUUCUGUCUCCUUCUCCCUUUGCCCCUCCCCCACUUGCUCUUUGUAUCUUUCUCAAAAAUAAAUAAAAAUAAAACUUAAAAGAAACCUAAUUCUUAUAACCGGGGUAAAUUAAUUUAAUGUGACUUUGUGACUAAUGUGAUUUAUUAGUUAAUCAUUAAUUUGAUUAAUUAAAUUAUUGAUUUACCUUGUAAAUUCAGGCUCAAUCCUAAUUUUAGGCUUAUGCAGUUAUUGCAUUUAGAUCAGUAGUAAGGGUGUCCUGGGCCUAUUGUUCCCAAGGUAUUUUUUUUCUAAAGCUGCAGAGAUCAUAGCUUGGAAAUCGGAAAUUGUUGAUUUGCAAAUUCUAGCAUUUGACCUUUUCAUACUUGCAGGUUUCUUAAGCCUUUCUCAUUAGCCCAUUUGUGUGUAUGAACAAUAGCAGUUAAGCACCCAGGAGCAAGAGACAUUAUCAAAGGAAGUCUUUUCUGUUGUAAUUCAGUUAAAGUUUUCCCUCUAGUCUUACUGAACCAUGGCACUACCUCCCAACACCAGCAAUCACAUCUCCUUGAAGCCUGAAGAGGUUCUGCCUAAGGACAGAGCUCCCCAAAGACUAACAGAGGAAUUGAAAUGGAUAUAUGCAAAUUUUCCUUCAUCUUAUGACUUCAAAACUAUUGUCAACCCAUUAAAACUCUUUUCCUUGUUUUUUUCAUUUAAUAAAACCUAAUUGUAAAGUCA